rnacentral:rRNA from 1 species
UACAGAGGGUGCAAGCGUUAAUCGGAAUUACUGGGCGUAAAGCGCACGUAGGCGGUUUUUUAAGUCAGAUGUGAAAGCCCCGGGCUCAACCCGGGAAUUGCAUUUGAAACUGGGAAACUAGAGUGUGUGAGAGGGGGGUAGAAUUCCAAGUGUAGCGGUGAAAUGCGUAGAGAUUUGGAGGAAUACCAGUGGCGAAGGCGGCCCCCUGGCACAACACUGACGCUCAGGUGCGAAAGCGUGGGGAGCAAACAGG